rnacentral:lncRNA from 1 species
UUUGAUAAUUGAUAUGUCUGAAAUAUCUGAAUAACAGUAUUUUACUAUUUUACCCCUCUAAACUAUGCUGAACAAGUAUAUAAUUUUGUGUGGAUGUAUUUAAAAAAAUUUGAAUACAAUAUUCAUUGUAUAACAAAUAAAAAUAGAAAAUUCUUGACAUUGCAUAUUUGAUCCAUGUAAUAACUCCAAUGUAUAAGCAUGUCCACUCAAGAUUGAAGUGUUAUCUCUAAUUCUUGGUAUGUUUGUUGAACGAAUUCGUUUCAAGUAACAAUACAUAAUGAUUAAGCAUAAAAGUUGAUCUUCAGUAGUCAUGCUUGACCUAUUUCCAAAAACAGUGAUAGCAAAAAUAUUAAGAAAAAUAUGGUUGUGAUAUAAUGAAACUCACAUAAUGCCCAUAUGUCAAGUUCAACAAAUCACGAUCCGUCAAAACAAUAAGCACAUAUAAUAAGUUACUAAAUAAAUACAUACCAAAAGUAACAAGUUCAUACAAAAGUUAUGGCCAAAAAUCAAAAAUUUAACCCUUUGCACCCAAAAUAAUAAGUUUUGGUCAUCGAUCCAUACAACAUAUUAAAGUUUUAACUAAAAACAUUCCAUUCAGUAAAUAUUUAACUAGACUAAAAAUCCUAACUUGCGUGAAACCAUUUCAACCCAACCUUCAUUCUCAUCAUCUUCUAGUAGCAUCCAUUGUUCCCUAUAACUUGCACUCUCACAAAAUAUCCCAAGUGCCAUUUUGUGCAAUGGAUUUUGUGAUCCCCACCCAAGACGAUUUAAUUUAUCUUUGCACUCCUUCAAAGAAGGUCCACUAUUGUUAUUCACAAUAAGCUUUAAGGCUUUGCACAUCUCUUCUUCUAUUUCGGAGUUAUUAGAUUUUUUUGUUGAUUUCUUCGCUUUUUUCGUUGGCCUUUGUUCUUCAAAGUUGAGAGUGGAAGCAUGCGAUUGAGUACCCGGAGUUGAUGAAUUUAGAGGUGGGUUUGGGGACUCUUGAGCUUGAGUACUAAAAGGGAUAUCCUCGAUACUAACAAUUUCCAAAUCCUUAUUUGGUUCAACGGUCCUAUCCCUUUUAGAGGUAGGUUCCCAGCCAUCAAUCCCCGUAGCAGCAACUCCAUCAUAGAGUUGAGUGCAAAGCUCAGAAAAACUUAAAGGUGAAGUCCUCAAGGAGUCAACAUGCUUGUUUGCAUGUAUCCAAAAAUCAUACCCAACAUGUUAUUCAAAUGUUUAAUAAUUUAACAAGCUUUUAUGGUUAACUUAAAAAUGUAGUUACAAGCUUUUAUGGUUAACUUAAAAAUCUACAAUAAAGUUGUGGGUGUUCUUCAGUAUUUCUCCCAUUGUUGACCAUGAAUAUGGCUUAAGACUACCGCCUAGCCUACCAUUUUCCGUAACCUCGCCAAUACAUGCUUCAAGAAAAGUUUUCAUUACAUUUUCAUUUCUCCAACUCACUCUUGAUUUUCUUUGAUUUUGAGUUUCACCCGAUUGUUCCAUGCCUAACACAAAUAAAAGGAUGAAAGGAGUUACAACUUACAAGGGUCUCCAAAAAUGAUAAAAGGAGUAUAAAAUAAUGACAAGAAAACUGAAAAAUUCUAGCAGACACCAUAGAAAGAGUCUCAAACACAAGUGAUAACUCAUAGUAAUAGGCUUUCUGCUGUUUAGGCUCAUUUAUAAGAAUAUUUCUAUAGAUAUUAAAAAGUAACCCAGUUCAACACAAUACACUAUAUACUUUGGAUAAAUUCAUUUGAAAAUGCAGAGACCCUUCUAUAAAUAAAUAUCUUUUAUAAUACUAAAAUAUAAAAAUAUUUGUUAUUUUAUUAAUUUAAAAGCUUUUAUCUUCAAACCCCACAAAGCCAGAAGACCUGCGAAAGAGGUUUUGGCAGGACAAGAUCUUUUGACCAUGGGAUGAGUUUCAAAUCUGAUAAUAAUUAGUAUUACUUGUACAGAAGCUUUUAAUAUUUAUGCCAAAACCACCACCAAGAACAACAUUCAUUUGAAAAAUGCAGAGACAGAAGGGGAAAGAAAUGCAGAGACAUAAUGAAACUCACAUAAUGACCAUAUUAAGAAAAAUAAUUAUAUCCUAAUAGACUUGCAUAGUCCAUAAGCAAGUAUGUGAAAUAUUUGUAUAUAUUUCGUUUUCUAAAAUGAUCAUGAAAAGGACUUCCAAAAGUAUUCUGGUACAUGUUAAACAGAAAUCCUUCCUGUUAAAGGAACUGACAGAUUGACGGGGCUAAAAGAUGAAUACAGCUUCAAAGAUUUCAAUUCCAUUGAAAAGGAAUUUGUACAUAACUUCAGACGCUAGAAAAUAGCCAUUGAAAUAAGAUGCAGAGAGUUGAGCAAUUACAGAGCAGGAAAUAUUAGGUGAAGUGCAGGACCUUAGGGCAAGAUGGGGGAAGCCGAAGGUUAUUAUACCCUGUUCUUUUCUCAGAUCGGAGGAAGUAGAUUUUGAAAAAAAAAACCUUAGCAAAACUAUGAGAUUGAAUCGAAUGAUACUCAAAUUGAGAGAUCUACAAAAACAUCAUAAAUACUUCAGAUUACUAACCUGAGAUGGCGAAGUUACUGUAGAUGGAGUGAAGAGAUGUGGAUGGAGACGCGAUGGAGAUGGACGAGAGCAGGGCUAGAGAUAGAGCAGCGAGAUUUGGAGGUUAUUCGGGUAAAAUAGGAUUAUUCAGCCCAUUUAGGUGAAUAUUUUCACAAGAAUCGCUCAG